CCCUUAGAUGUCCUGGGCCGCACGCGCGCUACACUGAUGCAUUCAACGAGUUUUACCUUGGCCGAGAGGCCUGGGCAAUCUUUUAAACCUGCAUCGUGAUAGGGAUAGAUUAUUGCAAUUAUUAAUCUUGAACGAGGAAUUCCUGGUAAACGCAAAUCAUCAAUUUGCAUUGAUUACGUCCCUGCCCUUUGUACACACCGCCCGUCGCACCUACCGAUUGAAUGGUCCGGUGAAGCCUCGGGAUUGUGGCCAGUUCACUUUAUUGGGAGUUGGCUGUGAGAACUUGUCUAAACCUUAUCAUUUAGAGGAAGGUGAAGUCGUAACA
rnacentral:rRNA from 1 species